rnacentral:rRNA from 1 species
CCCUUAGAUGUCCUGGGCCGCACGCGCGUUACACUGAUGCAUUCAACGAGCUUAUAACCUUGGCCGAGAGGCCUGGGCAAUCUUGUUAACGUGCAUCGUGAUAGGGAUAGAUUAUUGAAAUUAUUAAUCUUGAACGAGGAAUUCCUAGUAAACGCAGAUCAUCAAUCUGCAUUGAUUACGUCCCUGCCCUUUGUACACACCGCCCGUCGCACCUACCGAUUGAAUGGUCCGGUGAAAUCUUCGGAUUGCUGAUCAAAUUCCAGCAAUGGAGCUUGAUUGCGAGAAGUUGAUUAAACCUUAUUAUUUAGAGGAAGGAGAAGUCGUAACA